UGAACCUCGGUAGGAAUGGUGCAGAAACACGUAUAGUUAUUUCCACUUUACGCAAGGUCUAGUCUUUAUGUUUUUGUUUACAACGUUACCCCUACGAUUCCUAAUCCCAGGUGUAGUCUUGGGCCAAGUUUCUCCCAGCAUUAAGUCUGUGUCUGUGGGCAGAGCCAGAUCAAGGUCAUGGUUGUGAGAGUAGAGUUGGAAACUAGCAGCCUGUGUUGGGGAGGCUGUUUGGUGUCUGAGGAGGAGAGAGAAGUUUUCCUCCUGCCUUAUAAGAGUCACAUUAAACCAGGUGUCUGCCUCAGCGGACGCGGGGCACGAGCUGGGGAACACCCUGGAUAUGGUGUCAUUGCUGGGGUACACCCUGGACUUGGUGUCAGUUUAUCACAUUGCACGUCAACACUCACACACGCUUUCACAUAUUAUGUACAAUUUAGAGAUUCCAAUCACCCUAACAAUCUAUGCCUCUUGGGGGAGAAAUCCUCUGAAGCACAGGUGGAACACGCAAACACCACACACAGAAUGGAGCCAGGAAUCAAACCCCCAACCAUUGAGUUGUGAGGCAAAUUUGGGUAAGCUAUUGCAAAUACGUUGUAUAACAUUAUUUCUACAUUGAAUUUCUGAUUAAAGUCAUUUAAAUAUAGGGAAAUAUAUCUCUCAUGUUUGAGAUCACUGAAAUUUUCUUCUGCUACUAAUCAUCAUUGUAACUGCAAUAGCAUGUCCCCCAUGAUACCAUGACCCACAACAGCAACAUUCCCUCUUCACUGAACAAAGGGUUCAAUUAAACAUCCUCAAUCCUACAGUAGAACAACCAUCUGAGACAGGGAAACACCUUGAAUUGUUCUAGAUAGGAUCUUUUAGAGUUAUUCAAGAGGGAUAGGGUUAAGAAUGAGUUCUAGAUCUAUUUGUUUUACUAGUGUAUGGUACUGAAUGAUCUGCAUUUUUAACAGAAUAAAAGCUUUCUAUUCUCAGGAUAUAAAGUGCAGGUAUGAGACACAGACUGGCGGGAACUGGCAUUCAUGGGACUCUUGUGUGCAUCGUCUGUCUAGGGCAACUAGUUAAGUGCAGAUACAUCCCAGAGGGGCUUCAUGACCUCCAUACCCCAUCCUGGUUUCCCUACAAAUGCCUUCAGCUCUUUCUCCAUCGAUAGUUCAUGUACUAAACGCUGGCAAUGUAUAUAAAUUAUGUAUUGUGGCCUACAGUGAGUUACAUUUUAGAGGUUUGUUUUUAGGUACUAUUCAAAAAACAACAAUCCAAGCCAAGCCAAUAAGCAAGCCAAGAGCCAAGAAAAAAGGCAAAUAACAUUCAAGAUGUCUAACCUGUUUAACAAUAACAGUCCGUUUCACUGUGUCACAGUUGACACUAGGGAAAUUGGAUGGACACGGAAGACACACAAACAAGAGAUCUUCCUUGAUAUGGUUUGCGGCCAGAGGCAGAUUUUGAAUGCAAUCAGCGCUUGCGUUGGUGUACCUGUCAAGGCUCUUCUUCUGCCUGGAGGCCAUUUGCAAGCUAUACUUCUUCUCACAUCCCCCAACUGCCUGGCAAGCCCGGCACUAUUCCCACAAGACCGGAUUCCUACAGCUUUGCUAGAAAAAUCACUGGCUUUACCUGAUACAGCACUAAAUUAAACUGCUUCCCUUUUGGGGGCCACGACAAAGCACAUCUUGGUCUAAGGUUAGUAGGGCAUCCCCAUUACUCACUAGUUGGCCACUCUUCACCUUAUCCUCAGAAACCGUGCUCUGCAAAUAUUCAGUUUAUAUCUAAUUGUUUAAUAAUAUCUCGAUGUCAAGGGGUUUAGAAUAAGAAAAGGAUAGACCACUCUAGGUGUGCAUACUGUAUUUUAUAUAAAAACAAAAUGCUGUUUUGAAACCUGUUUUGAACAAUUGUUAUAGCUUCAGUUAAUAACUUGGCAAAAACUAGUAAGUGCACAUA